rnacentral:SRP_RNA from 1 species
GGGAAAAUUUUUUGCUAGAUUUAGCGGGGACUUUUUUUCCACUAAAUUUAGCGGGGAAAAGUUUCCGCUAAAUUUAGCGGGGGAAAUUUUCCGCUAGAUUUAGCGGGGGAAAUUUUCCGCUAAAUAUAGCGGGGGAAAUUUUCCGCUAGAUAUAGCGGGGGAAAUUUUCCGCUAAAUUUAGCGGGGAAAAUUUUCCGCUAAACUUAGCGGGGAAAAUUUCCGCUAGAUUUAGCGGGGGAAAUUUUUCCGCUAAAUUUAGC